UGGGCAGGUUGAAGGUUGGGUAACACUAACUGGAGGACCGAACCGACUAAUGUUGAAAAAUUAGCGGAUGACCUGUGGCUGGGGGUGAAAGGCCAAUCAAACCGGGAGAUAGCUGGUUCUCCCCGAAAGCUAUUUAGGUAGCGCCUCGUGAAUUCAUCUUCGGGGGUAGAGCACUGUUUCGGCUAGGGGGCCAUCCCGGCUUACCAACCCGAUGCAAACUACGAAUACCGAAGAAUGUUAUCACGGGAGACACACGGCGGGUGCUAACGUCCGUCGUGAAGAGGGAAACAACCCAGACCGCCAGCUAAGGUCCCAAAGUCAUGGUUAAGUGGGAAACGAUGUGGGAAGGCACAGACAGCCAGGAUGUUGGCUUAGAAGCAGCCAUCAUUUAAAGAAAGCGUAAUAGCUCACUGGUCGAGUCGGCCUGCGCGGAAGAUGUAACGGGGCUAAACCAUGCACCGAAGCUGCGGCAGCGACGCUUAUGCGUUGUUGGGUAGGGGAGCGUUCUGUAAGCCGUUGAAGGUGGCCUGUGAGGGUUGCUGGAGGUAUCAGAAGUGCGAAUGCUGACAUAAGUAACGAUAAAGCGGGUGAAAAGCCCGCUCGCCGGAAGACCAAGGGUUCCUGUCCAACGUUAAUCGGGGCAGGGUGAGUCGACCCCUAAGGCGAGGCCGAAAGGCGUAGUCGAUGGGAAACAGGUUAAUAUUCCUGUACUUGGUGUUACUGCGAAGGGGGGACGGAGAAGGCUAUGUUAGCCGGGCGACGGUUGUCCCGGUUUAAGCAUGUAGGCGGAGGUUCCAGGUAAAUCCGGUACCUUAUUAACGCUGAGGUGUGAUGACGAGGCACUACGGUGCUGAAGUAACAAAUGCCCUGCUUCCAGGAAAAGCCUCUAAGCAUCAGGUAACACGAAAUCGUACCCCAAACCGACACAGGUGGUCAGGUAGAGAAUACCAAGGCGCUUGAGAGAACUCGGGUGAAGGAACUAGGCAAAAUGGUGCCGUAACUUCGGGAGAAGGCACGCUGAUAUGUAGGUGAAGCCCCUGCGGGUGGAGCUGAAAUCAGUCGAAGAUACCAGCUGGCUGCAACUGUUUAUUAAAAACACAGCACUGUGCAAACACGAAAGUGGACGUAUACGGUGUGACGCCUGCCCGGUGCCGGAAGGUUAAUUGAUGGGGUUAGCGGCAACGCGAAGCUCUUGAUCGAAGCCCCGGUAAACGGCGGCCGUAACUAUAACGGUCCUAAGGUAGCGAAAUUCCUUGUCGGGUAAGUUCCGACCUGCACGAAUGGCGUAAUGAUGGCCAGGCUGUCUCCACCCGAGACUCAGUGAAAUUGAACUCGCUGUGAAGAUGCAGUGUACCCGCGGCAAGACGGAAAGACCCCGUGAACCUUUACUAUAGCUUGACACUGAACACUGGUCCUUGAUGUGUAGGAUAGGUGGGAGGCUUUGAAGCGUGGACGCCAGUCUGCGUGGAGCCGCCCUUGAAAUACCACCCUUUAAUGGCUGGUGUUCUAACGUAGACCCGUGAUCCGGGUUGCGGACAGUGUCUGGUGGGUAGUUUGACUGGGGCGGUCUCCUCCCAAAGAGUAACGGAGGAGCACGAAGGUUAGCUAAUCCUGGUCGGACAUCAGGAGGUUAGUGCAAUGGCAUAAGCUAGCUUGACUGCGAGAGUGACGGCUCGAGCAGGUGCGAAAGCAGGUCAUAGUGAUCCGGUGGUUCUGAAUGGAAGGGCCAUCGCUCAACGGAUAAAAGGUACUCCGGGGAUAACAGGCUGAUACCGCCCAAGAGUUCAUAUCGACGGCGGUGUUUGGCACCUCGAUGUCGGCUCAUCACAUCCUGGGGCUGAAGUAGGUCCCAAGGGUAUGGCUGUUCGCCAUUUAAAGUGGUACGCGAGCUGGGUUUAGAACGUCGUGAGACAGUUCGGUCCCUAUCUGCCGUGGGCGCUGGAGAAUUGAGGGGGGCUGCUCCUAGUACGAGAGGACCGGAGUGGACGCAUCACUGGUGUUCGGGUUGUCAUGCCAAUGGCACUGCCCGGUAGCUAAAUGCGGAAGAGAUAAGUGCUGAAAGCAUCUAAGCACGAAACUUGCCCCGAGAUGAGUUCUCCCUGAGACUUUAAGUCUCCUGAAGGAACGUUGAAGACGACGACGUUGAUAGGUCGGGUGUGUAAGCGCAGCGAUGCGUUGAGCUAACCGAUACUAAUGAACCGUGAGGCUUAACCUU
rnacentral:rRNA from 1 species